CUGCCAGAAUUCAUAUGCUUGUCCCGAAGACUAAAGCCAUGCAUGCCUAUGAAAAAUCGGAGCCCAGUGGCCAAGGCCGCGCAAUGCGGCCUCACUGGGCAGACGAGGACUCAGCGAACGGCUCCGUAUAUCUGUUGUAACCUAUCGUGGUAAAUUGGGCGUGGAUAUAGCACGGAAACGCUGUGUGUAACACAGUCAAAUGGGGUCCCGGGCAGGUUAGACCGUUCUGCCUGGAUCAAAUGUGUGCUCUUCGGAGCCCGGCCUCGUUAAGUGCUCCCCUAGUACCCCCUCUCCCCCUACCCAUUGAAGGUAGCAUAAGUGGACUUUGUGGGCGAAACGGAGGCCUCUGCUGUUUAGGUAGCCCCCCAGCCCUAUCAGGGUUAUGGCGCCUAAGACGCAUGCAGAGACUAACCACAAGCGCACGAUGGGCUUCAGACCUAUCAGCAAGGUGGUAGGGUAUUGGCCUACCAUAGCUUUGACGGGUACAGAGGAUUAGGGUUUGAUCCUGGAGAGGUAGCCUGAGAAAUCGCUCCCACUUCUAAGGAAGGCAGCAGGCGCGUAACGUUCCCAAUGCUGGGCCAGUGAGGACGUGAAGGGAUAUAACAAUGCCCCUAUUGGUUAGUGGGUAAUGACAAUGGAGUGGGCUAAA
rnacentral:rRNA from 1 species